AUUGAACGCUGGCGGCAUGCCUAACACAUGCAAGUCGAACGCGAAAGGGUUUCGGCCUGAGUAGAGUGGCGGACGGGUGAGUAAAGCGUGGGAAUCUGCCUUGCAGUGGGGGACAACCCGGGGAAACUCGGGCUAAUACCGCAUGUGACCUAAGGGUGAAAGGGGGCCUUUUGGCUCUCGCUGCAAGAUGAGCCCACGUCCGAUUAGCUAGUUGGUAGGGUAAAGGCCUACCAAGGCCACGAUCGGUAGCUGGUCUGAGAGGAUGAUCAGCCACACUGGGACUGAGACACGGCCCAGACUCCUACGGGAGGCAGCAGUGGGGAAUAUUGGACAAUGGGCGCAAGCCUGAUCCAGCAAUGCCGCGUGUGUGAAGAAGGCCUGCGGGUUGUAAAGCACUUUCAGUGGGGAAGAACAGAUUCGGGUCAAUACCCCGGAGCCCUGACGUUACCCACAGAAGAAGCACCGGCUAACUCCGUG
rnacentral:rRNA from 1 species